UGUACACAAUUUGCUGGGGCAGCGCAUGCGCACAAUGGCUGUUCUGCGAGGCUGGUGGUGAGCUCGCUCAGGCGCGCCUGCCCCCUUCUGCUCGGGGGCCUGCAGUGGCGGGGCCGGCCCGCUCGGGGCGCUCUUCCGGCGGGGCCCGCUCUCUUUCUCGCCCGCCUGUCUUCCUGCGGAGAGAGGGCGGGCUCAGUCCCUCCUCCUCCUCCUUCUCCUUCUCCUCCCUCGGCGCUGCUGCCUCUCCGGGUGCCUGUCUGCCUGCUUGCGUGCCGCGGCGGCCGCUGAAACGCCAUCGAUGCCGGGAGCGCGGAGGCGGCGGUGGCGGCGCUCCUGCUGCUGCUGAGCGAGGUGGGGGCGGCCCCGCCCGGAGAUGGGGAUCCUCAGCAUCACGGACCAGCCUCCUCUGGUCCAAGCCAUCUUUAACCGUGAUAUAGAGGAGGUGCGGUCACUGCUGAGUCAGAAGGAGAAUAUCAAUGUGUUGGUAAGUAUUGGAGCAAUAAUUUUUCUUCCUCCUGCUGAUUCUGCUUCUUUGCUACUUACCUCACUUGUAACCAUGUGGAAUGCCUUCUGUCCACAGUGUGAACAGAGAAGGAAAGGUUGUUCCUUUGACAUAAACUUGUUACUGGCCAACAUCCAAUUGAAAUGUUUUGUUUUUAAUGUCUUCUCAAAAAGUGCAUAUUCAAAUACUUAACUAUUUUUGUAUAUGGCCAUUUUGGUGCAGAGCUUGCUUAUUGGUCUUAGAGAGCCCUCGCUUUAGAAUUCUGUUCAGUCAUGAAAAAAUCAGCCUCUUUCAGUGAUUUAUUUUGUCAUUCUGCUCCCCAUUUAUGAAAUAGGAAUAAUUGUGGAUGCAAGGUUGUUCUAGGAGUGUAAUUAGGUUAAUGAAAUACUUUGCCUGUUCAGAAUUUAUGCACACAACAGAAAACCUUGCAUAUCAUUAGUAAACGUUGACUUCAUUGGGAAUUGCCUGUAACAUAUGUAGUGGUAUAACUACGGAGCAGUGGGUGGCAUUGCAUCAGCUGUUGUCUUUGGAACUGAAUGUGUUCUGGAUUAGUCUUGUGGUCUCUGAGUGAGAACAGCAUGUGUUAACAAUGGCUUAAAAAAACCUUUCUUGUAUAGUCCACAAGUUAGUAAUUGGCUCUUUGUAUCACUUUGGCUCAUUCAACAUCGGCACAUAUAGUAUAUACCUUGCACUAUUCCUAAGUAGCACAGUUAGUGACAAGGCUUAUAUUAUUAUGAAUUCAUUUGAUAUGAAAAUUGGGGAGGAGCAAGAACAAGGAGA
rnacentral:lncRNA from 11 species